UGGGGAAUAUUGCACAAUGGAGGGAACUCUGAUGCAGCGACGCCGCGUGAACGAAGAAGGCUUUCGAGUCGUAAAGUUCUUUUAUAUGGGAAGAUAAUGACGGUACCAUAAGAAAAAGCCCCGGCUAACUACGUGCCAGCAGCCGCGGUAAUACGUAGGGGGCUAGCGUUGUCCGGAAUCACUGGGCGUAAAGGGUUCGCAGGCGGAAAUGCAAGUCAGGUGUAAAAGGCAGUAGCUUAACUACUGUAAGCAUUUGAAACCGCAUAUCUUGAGAAGAGUAGAGGUAAGUGGAAUUUUUAGUGUAGCGGUGAAAUGCGUAGAUAUUAAAAAGAAUACCGGUGGCGAAGGCGACUUACUGGGCUCAUUCUGACGCUGAGGAACGAAAGCGUGGGUAGCAAACAGG
rnacentral:rRNA from 2 species